rnacentral:tRNA from 1 species
GCCCUGGAGGACUAGUGGUUAGGCCUCGGUGCUCUCACCGCCAUGGCCCGGAUUCGAUUCUCGGCCAGGGAA